rnacentral:lncRNA from 1 species
AAUCAAUCUCAGAAUCGCUCCCUGACUCCUCACAUAUGGCUUCAUCUCGGAAUCGCUCCACUGUUUACUCACACAUUGAUCUCAUAAUUGCUUCCUCACAAAAUGUUUCAUCUCUGAAUCCUGAUGCACAAUGUUACAAUCCUGAUUCGAUCUCAAUCGCUAGCUACUACGCCACGUAACAACUAAGGUAAUUGAAUUUUGAUUUGAUUUUCAUAUUCUUCGGUUAUAAUCAUGAAUAUCAGUGCAGUUAUUACAAUAUAUAUAUAUAGCUUAGGGUUCCAAAUUUUAUUGAUUUUUUCCUUUUUGAAUGUAUCAAAGAUGCCAAAAGCUUAAGCAUAUUAGGCGUAGUAAUUUUAAUUGAUUAUAAAAGUUAAUUAAUAUGUUAUGCUGUAAUUAGAUGUGUAUGUAUACUUAUAAGUUUUUUUUAUGCAAUGUAUACUUAUAAGUUAGUGGACAAAUUUAGAUAAAGUCAUGUUUGAGAAAGGUGAAGUUGUUGGUUUGUUCAAAAAUUAACGAACUGUGCAAGUGAAUCUGCAUUUUUAGGCAUUCUCUAGGAGUAGAAUGUGGGGGAACUUGUUAAGCGUAACAAAAAAGGAAAUUAAAAGAAAAUUUAUAUUGGGAAGAUAAUUUUCUACAAUUUUAAAACAUUGAAUGCAUAAAUUUCAAGAAGACUUGACUCUAUACUUGCUGACUAUAGUCUUCAAUGUCCAUUCCUUGAAGAAGUUUAAUAAGUGUUUUGAGAGCAACAUCAGCAUCUUCACCUCUCAACAAAUGCUCUGCCACUAAUGCAGGGGUGACAUCCAUUUUAUCCAAUAGUUCAUCAACCUGUUCUAAGAGAGGGUGGUGAUGUU